GGAGAGGUGGCAGAGAGGUCGAAUGCACCGCACUCGAAAUGCGGCAUACCUGCAAGGGUAUCGUGGGCUCGAAUCCCACCCUUUCCGCCA
rnacentral:tRNA from 1 species